UACGUAGGGCGCAAGCGUUGUCCGGAAUUAUUGGGCGUAAAGAGCUCGUAGGCGGCUUGUUGCGUCGGUUGUGAAAGCCCGGGGCUUAACCCCGGGUCUGCAGCCGAUACGGGCAGCUAGAAUUCGGUAGGGGAGACUGGAAUUCCUGGUGUAGCGGUGAAAUGCGCAGAUAUCAGGAGGAACACCGGUGGCGAAGGCGGGUCUCUGGGCCGAAAUUGACGCUGAGGAGCGAAAGCGUGGGGGAGCAAACAGG
rnacentral:rRNA from 1 species